rnacentral:rRNA from 1 species
UCAACGCCGGGCAGCUCACCGGAUAAGACAGCUGGAUGAUAGCCGGGCUGAAGACUCUGCUUGACUAGCUGAGAGGAGGUGCAUGGCCGUCGUCAGUUCGUACUGUGAAGCAUCCUGUUAAGUCAGGCAACGAGCGAGACCCACGCCAACAGUUGCCAGCAUGUCCUCCGGGAUGAUGGGGACACUGUUGGGACCGCCUCUGCUAAAGAGGAGGAAGGAAUGGGCAACGGUAGGUCAGCAUGCCCCGAAUUAUCCGGGCUACACGCGGGCUACAAUGGUCAGGACAAUGGGUAUCAACACCGAAAGGUGAAGGCAAUCUCCUAAACCUGUCCUUAGUUCGGAUUGUGGGCUGCAACUCGCCCACAUGAAGCUGGAAUCUGUAGUAAUCGCGUCUCAAAAUGGCGCGGUGAAUAUGUCCCUGCUCCUU